UCCGUAGGUGAACCUGCGGAAGGAUCACUAGUGAUUUAAAUACUUGUUAGAGUCUCGCAAGAGCUCUUCAAGUCCCUUCACAUCCACAUACACCCUGUGCUCUUGGCUGCUCUUUGGAAACCGCAAGGUGGAAUCGAGUAGUUCAACCCCCCUUUUUAAUUAAACUCAGUAUAAUGAAUGUAAACAAGUUUUAAUAAACAUAAUAAAACUUUCAACAACGGAUCUCUUGGCUCUCGCAUCGAUGAAGAACGCAGCGAAAUGCGAUAAGUAAUGUGAAUUGCAGAAUUCAGUGAAUCAUCGAAUCUUUGAACGCACCUUGCGCUCCUUGGUAUUCCGAGGAGCAUGCCUGUUUGAGUGUCAUAAAACUCUCAACUCCUAAUGGUUUUUUCGGAAACUGUUAGUUGAUGUUGGAUUUGAAUGUUGCUGGCUUUCGAGUCGGCUCGUUCGAAAUGUAUUAGCUGGUUCCCUCUUUAAUUUGGUUCCACUCGGCGUGAUAAGUAUCUUCGUCGAGGACAGUUGACUUCGGUUGGCUGGCCAGAAUAGAUUGGUUGAGCUGCUUCUAAUCCUUUCUUUGUACUUCGGUAUACUGAAAACUUUUUAUGCUCUGGCCUCAAAUCAGGUAGGAUUACCCGCUGAACUUAAGCAUAUCAAUAAGCGGAGGA
rnacentral:rRNA from 1 species